rnacentral:misc_RNA from 1 species
AAGUCGUAACAAGGUAACCGUAGGUGAACCUGCGGUUGGAUCAUUAACAAAUUUUUAUGAUUUGAGUCCCCAACUGGGAGCUUUCGAGCUUUCUUAUUGGGGAUCUCUUAUCUCCAACCCUAAUGUGAACCUGUUUAUUGUCUCUUGGCGAGUUAGGAUGAAGGCCUUUUGGUAACCGGCUCAACGUCGGUGACCCAGAGGAUCAGGUAUAUGAUUCAGUACUCUAUUUCCAACUCAAAUUCGGGAAUAGAGAAUGGGAUCAUAUAGCGACAAGCCAACCUCGCCAAACCUAAACUUGAACUUUUGUUUUUAUAACUAGUCUUGAAUUUUAAAUUAUAUUCUAAUUUUAAACAACUUUUGACAACGGAUCUCUAGGCUCUC